rnacentral:rRNA from 2 species
ACACAUGCAAGUCGAGCGGCAGCGACAACAUUGACCCUUCGGGGGAUUUGUUGGGCGGCGAGCGGCGGACGGGUGAGUAAUGCCUGGGAACAUGCCUUAGUGUGGGGGAUAACCAUUGGAAACGAUGGCUAAUACCGCAUAAUCUCUACGGAGCAAAGAGGGGGACCUUCGGGCCUCUCGCGCUAAGAUUGGCCCAGGUGGGAUUAGCUAGUAGGUGGGGUAACGGCUCACCUAGGCGACGAUCCCUAGCUGGUCUGAGAGGAUGAUCAGCCACACUGGAACUGAGACACGGUCCAGACUCCUACGGGAGGCAGCAGUGGGGAAUAUUGCACAAUGGGGGAAACCCUGAUGCAGCCAUGCCGCGUGUGUGAAGAAGGCCUUCGGGUUGUAAAGCACUUUCAGCAGUGAGGAAGGCGGUAUCGUUAAUAGCGGUAUUGUUUGACGUUAGCUGCAGAAGAAGCACCGGCUAACUCCGUGCCAGCAGCCGCGGUAAUACGGAGGGUGCGAGCGUUAAUCGGAAUUACUGGGCGUAAAGCGCAUGCAGGCGGCUUGUUAAGCCAGAUGUGAAAGCCCGGGGCUCAACCUCGGAAUCGCAUUUGGAACUGGCAGGCUAGAGUCUUGUAGAGGGGGGUAGAAUUUCAGGUGUAGCGGUGAAAUGCGUAGAGAUCUGAAGGAAUACCGGUGGCGAAGGCGGCCCCCUGGACAAAGACUGACGCUCAGAUGCGAAAGCGUGGGGAGCAAACAGGAUUAGAUACCCUGGUAGUCCACGCCGUAAACGAUGUCUACUUGGAGGUUGGUGUCUUGAACACUGGCUUUCGGAGCUAACGCGUUAAGUAGACCGCCUGGGGAGUACGGUCGCAAGAUUAAAACUCAAAUGAAAUUGACGGGGGCCCGCACAAGCGGUGAGCAUGUGUUUAAUUCGAUGCAACGCGAAGAACCUUACCUACUCUUGACAUCCACGGAAUCCUGCAGAGAUGCGGAGUGCCUUUCGGAACCGUGAGACAAGGUGCUGCAUGCUGUCGUCAGCUCGUGUUGUGAAAUGUUGGGAUAAGUCCCGCAACGGCGCAACCCUUA